UACGAGCCGUCCUAACGUUAUUCGGAAUCACUGGGCUUAAAGGGUGCGUAGGCGGUCCGGUAAGUUGGGUGUGAAAUCCCUCGGCUCAACCGAGGAAUUGCGCCCAAAACUGUCGGACUCGAGGGAGACAGAGGUGAGUGGAACUUAGGGUGGAGCGGUGAAAUGCGUUGAUAUCCUAAGGAACACCGGUGGCGAAAGCGACUCACUGGGUCUUUUCUGACGCUGAGGCACGAAAGCUAGGGUAGCAAAC
rnacentral:rRNA from 1 species